rnacentral:lncRNA from 1 species
CAACGGCCUGUUGGCAACUUACUACAAGGUUGUUGAGCUCAACAGACUUGUUACAAGUUGUUCCAACAACUUGUUAUCGUUCUGCAAUUCAACAAUUUGUCAACAAGUUGUAAGUGACAACCUUGUAGCAACUUGAUGAAAUAACAGCAUUGUUACAACCUGUUGACAAGCUUGCUACAAACCUGUUGCGAACACAUCUUGUUG